GACGUACGCUGGCGGCGUGCUUAACACAUGCAAGUCGAACGAUGAAGCCGGAGCUUGCUCUGGUGAAUUAGUGGCGAACGGGUGAGUAACACGUGAGUAACCUGCCCUUGACUCUGGGAUAACUGCGGGAAACUGUAGCUAAUACCGGAUACGACCCUCGGAGGCAUCUCCUGGGGGUGGAAAGAAUUUCGGUCAAGGAUGGACUCGCGGCCUAUCAGCUAGUUGGUGAGGUAAAGGCUCACCAAGGCGACGACAGGUAGCCGGCCUGAGAGGGCGACCGGCCACACUGGGACUGAGACACGGCCCAGACUCCUACGGGAGGCAGCAGUGGGGAAUAUUGCGCAAUGGGCGAAAGCCUGACGCAGCAACGCCGCGUGAGGGAUGACGGCCUUCGGGUUGUAAACCUCUUUCAGCAGGGAAGAAGCGAAAGUGACGGUACCUGCAGAAGAAGCACUGGCUAACUACGUGCCAGCCGCCGCGGUAA
rnacentral:rRNA from 1 species